rnacentral:lncRNA from 1 species
CCCGCUAUGAACUUGGAUCCAAAUCCAGCUCCCCGGUGUGAACGCUAGGAAGAUGGAUUUGGGCCCAUCUCCAGUUAAUAGCGAAACUGGGAGAAAUCUUACUGUGAAAACUGGCGACUUCAUAAGCCUCAAGUGUUUGCUCAUCCAUGGAACCACAUGCCCUCCCUGUUAGGUCUGGGCUCUGCUGUCCACCAGGAGUAGCUCCUGUGGCUUCCAAACAUACUCCCUGCCUCUGUAGCAAGAGGAAGUGCUAGGUGAUGCUCUUACAAAGAGAGGCUAGGGGACUGGGGCUUGGGAUCAUGUCUUUCCAGCUGUGUGCACCUCCACUCUUCUCUUCAGCAUCUCAGACUUGGGAAGCUGGGCUCUUCCCCAGUGCUGUGAAAGUGUCUGUGGGAAAAUGUCUUCCGUUCCUUUAACUCGUCCUACUCGCUACCUGCCUGUAGGGCAGAUGAUCUGCUCUGCAGCCAGUGCCUCCAUUCUUGCUUCUGGUGGACGUUUCAUCUCCUUGCUUUCUUUCUUUCAGAGGAGUAAGAGGAAAGAGCGAGACUACCUGAAUAUCCGACACCCUCCUAUGGAUAAAGCCAGAGCCAAAGGACAGCCAGUCCCACCACACGUCUCUGCGGUCGAUGAUGACUCAGCCACCGUCUACGAGAACCUGAACAUCAAAAGCUCAAAGGUUUCAGGGAUUAAUAAUGCAGGGAGAUAAAGGGGCCGGAAGGGGAGCUGGCUGGAGGCUGCACAGGAUUUACAGUGUUUACGUCCACACUUUCCAAGUUCUGUCGCCGCUGCCUCCCUCUACCCUCGUGACCCCUCCCCACCCCUUCAAGCACCUUGGAUCCAGCGAGGAACCAAAAUGCCGAAAGCAUCUGAGCGAGGCAGAGUGCGCGCCUCAGGAACACGCCUCAAUCUAACUUAUUCACGGGAGUGACCUUUUCUGGUCCUUUUUCACAUAGGCCGAUAUUUAUGUGCAAGUGCCUCUGGAUGGUCAUAGGGCGUAAAAGCUCUGUUUUUAAUUUUUUUUGUUUAAAAGAAUUAAAUUAAUUUUUAAAGAAAUUGAUUUUGUAAAAAGUUAAAAUAAAGUGAUGUGUUUAGGAGCUUUGCCUGGUCAGGACAGUCACCGGCGUGUUGCUGCACUUCAUGGCUUCAUGAGGUCAGUCGUGUCUCAGCUAGAGGUGUUUAAACUGAAUCUUGGGUUAACUCUACUGCCAUGGAAGUGAUGGACUGGGCGUGUGGACUGGACCUAGGUACAGUGCAAAUAACCGCUGUGUAAAUGCCGCCUGCCAUCAUUCUUUUAGAAAAUGCACCUCCUUUCUGCUGUGCUAGGCUUGGGCACUUAUGCAAUUUGCCGAAGCACCUAGCGCCUGACCCUGGAGCAACCCCUGCUAUUGCAGCAUGCAGAGAAGCAGUGUGAUGCAGUGGACUUGUCUGUCUGGUAGCAAAAUCCCCAUGCUGCACGGUUACUAGAUUCUGACAUGCACAUGGGUGAGGAGGCAGUGUUCGAACCCUCAUCUCUGCCAACACAGGCCUCUGCUGCAGGAGCUAAGAGAUCUCCCAUAGCUGCUGGUAAAAGCAAUAGGGAGGCAACUUUAUCUGUGCUGUGGGCAACAUCACAUGUACCAUCAGCACAUUAGGGCAUAGAGUUCUGAGUUCUGUUCCUGACUCUGUUGCUGUCUUGCUGGAUGCCCUGUGUUCAUUCCCCCACGUUUGUAUGCUGAGCCUAAUGCUAUGUAUAUGAAAUAGGGGAGCUGCGGGCAGUGAUUAAUGUUUGUGCAGCACUGCGAAGAGGAAAAGAACACACUUUAGAAUGUCAAUAUUCCGGCUCUCUUUGCGCACCUCAGAUUUCACUGGCAGCACUUCCUGCUGUUGCAACCGCUCUGCCAAAGAAUCUCCUUUCUGCUGGACUCCUUGCUAUGCAAAAGAGCCCAGGGUCUGAAUGCCAGGGCCGAAACCAGGAGAGCUUGUCUUGGGCAGCUGUUAAUGGGGGAGGGGGAAAGAAACAUUCUUCUUUGUCUGUGUGGGGUAAUGGACGUGCUGGGCUGUGGCAUUAGCUCUCAGUGCUCGAGUUGCUGCUCUCCCCAGGCACUGCAGGGGCUGAACAAAGAGCACACCGAUGGAACGGGGCUGUGUUUACUGGUUGGCAUUGUCAGUCAUUUGUCACAGGGACAAGAAAACCGUUUAUUUUUAUGCACUUUUAAUAAAUGUUCAAUAUUCUAAAGGUUUGUUUUUAAGUUUGAAAUGCUUGUGAAAGUGACCGAUGGACAUUUGAAGGGGGGUAGGAUGCCAGCCGGUGCCAGGCUUCUCCUAGCCAAAAAAACCC